rnacentral:rRNA from 1 species
GAGGGGUGCAAGCGUUAUUCGGAAUCAUUGGGCGUAAAGGGUGCGUAGACGGCUUAUCAAGUCAACUGUUAAAUUCUCCGGCCUAACUGGAGAUCAGCGGUAGAAACUGAUAGGAUUGAGGUUGGAAGAGAGAAGUGGAAUUCUCGGAGUAGCGGUAAAAUGCGUAGAUCUCGAGAGGAACACCGAUGGCGAAGGCAGCUUCUUGGUCCAUACCUGACGUUGAGGCACGAAAGCGUGGGGAGCAAACAGGAUUAGAUACCCUGGUAGUCCACGCCGUAAACGAUGAUCACUAGACGUUAAUUCUGCUUGCAGAAUCAGUGUCGUAGCUAACGCGCUAAGUGAUCCGCCUGGGGAGUACGGUCGCAAGACUA